rnacentral:rRNA from 1 species
CAGUCGCCGCGGGAAAACGGAGGGAGCUAGCGUUGUUCGGAAUUACUGGGCGUAAAGCGCACGUAGGCGGCUUUGUAAGUUAGAGGUGAAAGCCUGGAGCUCAACUCCAGAACUGCCUUUAAGACUGCAUCGCUUGAAUCCAGGAGAGGUGAGUGGAAUUCCGAGUGUAGAGGUGAAAUUCGUAGAUAUUCGGAGGAACACCAGUGGCGAAGGCGGCCCACUGGUCCAUUACUGACGCUGAGGUGCGAAAGCGUGGGGAGCAAACAGGAUUAGAUACCCGAGUAGUCCCUGUCUCUUAUAC